AUGAAGAACGUAGCGAAAUGCGAUACUUGGUGUGAAUUGCAGAAUCCCGUGAACCAUCGAGUCUUUGAACGCAAGUUGCGCCCGAAGCCAUUAGGCCGAGGGCACGCCUGCCUGGGCGUCACACGUCGUUGCCCCCCCAUCUACUCCUUCGGGAUUGCGGGGGGCGGAUGAUGGCCUCCCGUGCGCCUCGUCGCGCGGUUGGCAUAAAUGCCAAGUCCUCGGCGACGCACGCCACGACAAUCGGUGGUUGCGAAACCUCGGUUGCCCGUCGUGUGCGGUCGUCGCGCAUCGAGGGCUCGAAAAAAUUGCCGGGCUCCGGCUCGGCUUUCAACGCGACCCCAGGUCAGGCGGGGUUACCCGCUGAAUUUAAGCAUAUCAAUAAGCGGAGGA
rnacentral:misc_RNA from 1 species